rnacentral:rRNA from 1 species
GACGAACGCCGGCGGCGUGCUUAACACAUGCAAGUCGAACGGAAAGGCCCUGCUUUUGUGGGGUGCUCGAGUGGCGAACGAGUGAGUAACACGUGAGUAACCUGCCCUUGACUUUGGGAUAACUUCAGGAAACUGGGGCUAAUACCGGAUAGGAGCUCCUACUGCAUGGUGGGGGUUGGAAAGUUUCGGCGGUUGGGGAUGGACUCGCGGCUUAUCAGCUUGUUGGUGGGGUAGUGGCUUACCAAGGCUUUGACGGGUAGCCGGCCUGAGAGGGUGACCGGCCACAUUGGGACUGAGAUACGGCCCAGACUCCUACGGGGGGCAGCAGUGGGGAAUAUUGCACAAUGGGCGGAAGCCUGAUGCAGCAACGCCGCGUGCGGGAUGACGGCCUUCGGGUUGUAAACCGCUUUCGCCUGUGACGAAGCGUGAGUGACGGUAAUGGGUAAAGAAGCACCGGCUAACUACGUGCCAGCAGCCGCGGUGAUACGUAGGGUGCGAGCGUUGUCCGGAUUUAUUGGGCGUAAAGGGCUCGUAGGUGGUUGAUCGCGUCGGAAGUGUAAUCUUGGGGCUUAACCCUGAGCGUGCUUUCGAUACGGGUUGACUUGAGGAAGGUAGGGGAGAAUGGAAUUCCUGGUGGAGCGGUGGAAUGCGCAGAUAUCAGGAGGAACACCAGUGGCGAAGGCGGUUUCUCUGGGCCUUUCCUGACGCUGAGGAGCGAAAGCGUGGGGAGCGAACAGGCUUAGAUACCCUGGUAGUCCACGCUGUAAACGGUGGGUACUAGGUGUGGGGUCCAUUCCACGGGUUCCGUGCCGUAGCUAACGCUUUAAGUACCCCGCCUGGGGAGUACGGCCGCAAGGCUAAAACUCAAAGGAAUUGACGGGGCCCCGCACAAGCGGCGGAGCAUGCGGAUUAAUUCGACGCAACGCGUAGAACCUUACCUGGGUUUGACAUGGAUCGGGAGUGCUCAGAGAUGGGUGUGCCUCUUUUGGGGUCGGUUCACAGGUGGUGCAUGGCUGUCGUCAGCUCGUGUCGUGAGAUGUUGGGUUAAGUCCCGCAACGAGCGCAACCCUUGUUCACUGUUGCCAGCACGUUAUGGUGGGGACUCAGUGGAGACCGCCGGGGUCAACUCGGAGGAAGGUGGGGAUGACGUCAAGUCAUCAUGCCCCUUAUGUCCAGGGCUUCACGCAUGCUACAAUGGCUGGUACAGAGAGUGGCGAGCCUGUGAGGGUGAGCGAAUCUCGGAAAGCCGGUCUCAGUUCGGAUUGGGGUCUGCAACUCGACCUCAUGAAGUCGGAGUCGCUAGUAAUCGCAGAUCAGCAACGCUGCGGUGAAUACGUUCCCGGG